AAUGGAGGCGCGGUGGACCUGCUGCCGUCGGCAACAUCUCCGGCUCACUGCUGCCGCCACGACUCCGUCAUGCUCCUGCCGGGCACCUCCUCUAACUUGCUGCAGCCCCGUGUUCGUUGACUAACUUCAACUUGGCAUGAUGAUGUGGGUGGCUGUUGCGGUGGAACGAAGCCCCAUCGAAUGAAGGUUUCCAAGUCUCCCCUUGCUUGGGAGCAACUUUGCAUCGGGGUAUUGCUUGCUAGCCACAGAGCAUGGUGGCCAUGACGGCGACGGCAAGGCACCCUAGCACCAGCAGCCGAAGAGGCUGGAGCCGGCACUCUAGAUGGAGGACCUUCUCCAUGUCUUCGAUCUCCCCCGUCAAGCUCACACGACAUGGUCUCUCAUAUUCAAGAUUAAGUUCCCGAUUUCUAGAGAAGAAAGAACGAGUGCUUCACUAAUGAACGUAGUCUGGAACUUCUCAAAUUAAAGGCA